AUUGAACGCUGGCGGCAGGCCUAACACAUGCAAGUCGAGCGGUUGACGGGAGCUUGCUCCCUGAUUCAGCGGCGGACGGGUGAGUAAUGCCUAGGAAUCUGCCUAUUAGUGGGGGACAACGUUUCGAAAGGAACGCUAAUACCGCAUACGUCCUACGGGAGAAAGCAGGGGACCUUCGGGCCUUGCGCUAAUAGAUGAGCCUAGGUCGGAUUAGCUUGUUGGUGAGGUAAUGGCUCACCAAGGCGACGAUCCGUAACUGGUCUGAGAGGAUGAUCAGUCACACGGGAACUGAGAGACGGUCCAGACUCCUACGGGAGGCAGCAGUGGGGAAUAUUGGACAAUGGGCGAAAGCCUGAUUCAGCCAUGCCGCGUGUGUGAAGAAGGUCUUCGGAUUGUAAAGCACUUUAAGUUGGGAGGAAGGGUUGUAGAUUAAUACUCUGCAAUUUUGACGUUACCGACAGAAUAAGCACCGGCUAACUCUGUGCCAGCAGCCGCGGUAAAAC
rnacentral:rRNA from 1 species